CUGAUGCCCUGUGGGCGCCACGUGGUUUGGUGCAGUUAGAGGUGCGCACCUCUAAAAGCAGCCAGCUGCAGCUGGGCAGACGGAGAGCAGAACGAUGAUCGGUCGGGCAGAGUUUCCGGAAGCCGCUCCAUGGCGCUGAGGUUUUGGUGACGGAAUCCGGAGCAGCGGAGAGAUGCAGGAAUUCGAUUUCCAUUUUUCCUGACGCUCUGCGGAGUGUGAAGACCGAACACCUCGGGACUCUGCAUUGUGGCCCAGAAUGGAUGACUGGUGUUAUGCACGCAUCAUUCGUGUCAGAAAGAGACCAUUUGGUCUAUGCCGGCUCCACACAAUCUGGUCAGGUUGUAGACAUGGACUGAGGAGUUGAAUCAUUGUUGCAUAGCGAGGUUUAUAUGGGAGAGUCUCCAUUCCGUGAUUCCAAGUCACGUGCUGUUAGGUCAAGGGAAUGCACAGCAUGAAUGGAAAAGCUCAAACAUGUGGCUCCAUACGAGAGGCAGGUUGGGGAAGUGAAUGAAGAGUUGAUUGUUGCACAGCAAGGUUUACAGAGGAGGAUAAUAGAACCUAAAGCCGUGUGCUGUAAUGAGGUUGCAGGGAACACAUGAGGCCUGAGAUGUCUGCCCAUGAACACUGUUGUGAAGACCGAACACCUCGGGACUCUGCAUUGUGGCCCAGAAUGGAUGACUGGUGUUGCGCACGCAUCAUUCACGUCAGAAAGAGACCAUUCGGUCCAACUGCUCUAUGCCGGCUCCACACAAACUGGUCAGGUUGUAGACAUGGACUGAGGAGUUGAAUCAUUGUUGCAUAGCGAGGUUUAUAUGGGAGAGUCUCCAUUCCGUGAUUCCAAGUCGUGUGCUGUUAGGUUGGGGAAGUGAAUAAAAAGUUGAAUUGUUGCACAGCACAGCAAGGUUUACAGAGGAGGAUAAUAGAACCUAAAGCCGUGUGCUGUAAUGAGGUUGCAGGGAACACAUGAGGCCUGAGAUGUCUGCCCAUGAACACUGUGUAAGUGGGACGAGAAUGGGAGGCGUGAACAAUCGCCCUUUUAAAGUUUCUACCACCUGUGUGUGACCUGUUGAGCUGUGCAGUCCUUCCCCCUGUGAUGAUGUCUGUGACCUCGCUGAUUUGGAGCUGUGCUCAAGUUGAGUGCUGCUAGAUUUGCGUUAUCUGUUGGGGACUUGUAUCUAUAAUAAAGGUAGCAUGACUUGUGA